rnacentral:rRNA from 1 species
GACGAACGCUGGCGGCGUGCCUAAUACAUGCAAGUCGAGCGGGGAUUAUGCUUGAUCGCUUCGGUGAGACGGCAUAUAUCCUAGCGGCGGACGGGUGAGUAACGCGUGGGUAAUCUACCUCGUAGUUCGGGAUAACAGGCCGAAAGGCUUGCUAAUACCGGAUGAGUUCAUGCUUAUGCAUAUAGGCGUGAAGAAAGGGCUAGCCCGCUAUGAGAUGAGCCCGCGUCCCAUUAGCUUGUUGGUGGGGUAAUGGCCUACCAAGGCAACGAUGGGUAGCCGGCCUGAGAGGGUGUACGGCCACACUGGGACUGAGACACGGCCCAGACUCCUACGGGGGCAGCAGUAGGGAAUUUUCGGCAAUGGGCGAAAGCCUGACCGAGCGACGCCGCGUGAGGGACGAAGGCCUUCGGGUUGUAAACCUCUGUCUGGGGGAUGAGAACGGACGGUACCCCGGAGGAAGCCCGGCUAACUACGUGCCAGCAGCCGCGGUAAAGUACUCUAU